rnacentral:lncRNA from 1 species
CCAGGGCUCAGUGUCAGUCACCUAUCCUGUGGCCUCGCACCUGGAUCCCAGACCCUUCGUGGGACCUGCAGGGUGGGGUCCUGACAGGCUUAUGGGGUUGCAGGGUCACAUGGUCAUGCAGCUAUAGAGCUGGCAAUGGCCAACACCUCUCCCCAGUCUGUCUAGUUUGGAGCCCCUCCCUGCCCUCUGCCUAGCUGUGCCUCCACUGGGACAGACAUCCCCCCUAUCUUGCCCCACUGGGUGUGCCUUCUGGGGACCCCACCUGUGUGGGUGGCUGGGUGAACCAGGAAUGGACUUGAGGCCUCAAAGGUCAGUUGCUGCUGCCAGGGCUACCUUUGAGCCUUUGAAAGUGCGCCCUGGACAUGCUCUGUGCCUCCCUCCCCACAUCCUCACUCAUUUCCUCCCAUAUUGGUGAGUCACCCUCCUUUCCCACCCCAUUUCUGCCUUGCCCUACAGCAUAGGGAGCACCAUGGUCUGUGCGAGGGGCCAAAGGCUGCUGAAUCCAUUGUGAUAAAUCCCCAAAGCCAACCCAGCAUGGGUCUGAGGGUGCUCCCACCCUCAGGUGGUGCUUCCUUCAAAGCCCUGGCACUUACGGGAUGACCUUGAUGUCUUCCUUGCCAUGGAGGAUAUAGUCGAUGACUUUGUAGAAGACGAUUUCCUGUGAAAUGGACCACAGCAGUCGUGAGGUGCUCCCCGGGCCAGCUUCCCAGCGGGAGCCUCCCUGAGGGGUGAGAGGAGCCACCCAGGUGCCCCACCCAGACACACACAUGCAUGUGCAUACACAGCACGUUCCACACCCAGAGUUAUACACAACCCUCACGUGCACACACACGUGCAGACCAUCAAUGACACUUGUGCAACACACAUUACACACUUACCUUCAUUCUGUCUGUGUCCUACUCAAGCCCACACACAAACUGGGUCCCAUACCCUUUCAUACAUGUGCAUACAGCCACCCAGGCCUGCAUGCGUGCGCACACACACACACACACACACACACAAACUGUGGCAGGUCAUGGUCACAGCCCAGCCUUGUGCAGGAACUCGUCUAUACACUUGACACACAACCCUGUGAGGAGGGCACAGUUAGCAGGUGGGGAGACUGAAGCAUGGCCAGGCUGGGUGGUGUGUACCAGGUUGGAUGCACACACGAUAAGGGGCACAGGUAUCUGCCCAUGUUCCCAUGCACUUUUCAUAUUGCCUCUGUCAUGCACAUGCACACGCGUGUGUACACACAUACACAUGGCCCCAUUAGGGAGAAGCUACAGUGGUUUCAAGGGGCAGCGGAAGGACCACCCAAUCAGGACGGAUGCUGGUUAUUCAAACCAGGCUGAUGACACUUAUUGGGAGACCAGCACCUGCCCCACCUGGCCCAAGAGCAUGGGGUGGAGUCAGGCGGGACAGCAGACAAGCACUCAGAGCAGUCAGGCAGCCAGCCGGCCCCAGUGGUCUGUUCCCACCUCCCCACACCCUUCCUAAAACCCUCCCUCUCCCACCCUGGGUCAAGCUGGGACAGACCCCUUCCUGCCCUGGAACUUGAGUUGGAGUCAGGGAAACCACAGUGUGCCAAGUGGACCUGUCCCCCCUCCACCAUGACUCACGCGGCCAUCGGGCGUGCGUGGGCCUGAGUACGGCUGAGCUUCUCCCAUCAGCACAGGCCACACAUCAAAGAAUUCCUGAGCCAGGAAGAGAGGGGAGAGAGUUAGUGAGUCAGUCUGGAGCAGGUCAAGCCUGGCCAGGAGGCUGGUGGGACAGCGGGGCCUCACCUUCUCCUUGGUCAUGUCCAGGAGGCCCACUGAGUACCGGUCACAGUUUAGAUAGGCCCGCACAGUGUAGAAGGCCUUGUGGAACUGCCUCUCGAUGUCUGUCAGCUCCUCAAACACCUUGUUAGCUGACCACAGCAGCACCUGGUGGGGGGGCACACUGGUGAGCCUGUGGUGCCAUGCGCGCACACACACACACACACACACACACACUUGUGUGACCACAGCAGCACCUGGGUGUGAACUGUCACACCAAACAUACACAGGCACACAUGCAGCUGACCAC